rnacentral:rRNA from 1 species
ACUCCAGAGAUGGAGCGUUCCUUCGGGGACAAGGUGACAGGUGGUGCAUGGUUGUCGUCAGCUCGUGUCGUGAGAUGUUGGGUUAAGUCCCGCAACGAGCGCAACCCUUAUUACUAGUUGCCAGCAUUUAGUUGGGCACUCUAGUGAGACUGCCGGUGACAAACCGGAGGAAGGUGGGGAUGACGUCAAAUCAUCAUGCCCCUUAUGACCUGGGCUACACACGUGCUACAAUGGCGUAUACAACGAGUUGCCAACCCGCGAGGGUGAGCUAAUCUCUUAAAGUACGUCUCAGUUCGGAUUGUAGGCUGCAACUCGCCUACAUGAAGUCGGAAUCGCUAGUAAUCGCGGAUCAGCACGCCGCGGUGAAUACGUUCCCGGGUCUUGUACAC